GUAACAGGUCUUCGGAUGCUGACGAGUGGCGAACGGGUGAGUAAUACAUCGGAACGUGCCUAGUAGUGGGGGAUAACUACUCGAAAGAGUAGCUAAUACCGCAUGAGAUCUACGGAUGAAAGCAGGGGACCUUCGGGCCUUGUGCUACUAGAGCGGCUGAUGGCAGAUUAGGUAGUUGGUGGGGUAAAGGCUUACCAAGCCUGCGAUCUGUAGCUGGUCUGAGAGGACGACCAGCCACACUGGGACUGAGACACGGCCCAGACUCCUACGGGAGGCAGCAGUGGGGAAUUUUGGACAAUGGGCGAAAGCCUGAUCCAGCAAUGCCGCGUGCAGGAUGAAGGCCCUCGGGUUGUAAACUGCUUUUGUACGGAAUGAAAAGCCUGGGGCUAAUAUCCCCGGGUCAUGACGGUACCGUAAGAAUAAGCACCGGCUAACUACGUGCCAGCAGCCGCGGUAAUACGUAGGGUGCAAGCGUUAAUCGGAAUUACUGGGCGUAAAGCGUGCGCAGGCGGUUUUGUAAGACAGUGGUGAAAUCCCCGGGCUC
rnacentral:rRNA from 1 species